rnacentral:miRNA from 2 species
CAGAAGGGGAGUUGGGAGCAGA